GGCCUCUGAAGAGCUGUGAGAAUGUACUGUCUCCUUUCCCCUGACUAUCUUGAGGGAACAUGCAGCCUGUGAGCACAGAUCUCCAGGAACCUGAAGGAAAACACAGGAUGUGGCUGGACUGUGGAGUCCCAAGAUACUUAAGAGGAAGUACACUCCAGUGCCUUGAUGGACCACAGUGAAGUCAAUUUUGAACAGAAUAAUAAGGACAGAAAUAAGAUGCUGUACUGAGAGAAAGAAAUCACCCAGGAAGAAAUGCUACAACCUCUGAGAAGAGAGAACAUCCUAGAAAGUCCUGUCAGGAGCUGCACCAUUAAAAGGAGCCGAGAGAUGCAGUAGUAGUCGAAGAGGAA